rnacentral:rRNA from 1 species
AGAGAGGAUACACCUGUUCCCAUUCUGAACACAGAAGUUAAGCUCUCUAGCGCUGAUGGUACUUGGUGGGAAACUGCCUGGGAGAGUAGGACGUAGCCACGU